AUACUUAGGUAGUAAUAGAUAAAUUCUUGAAACUUAAAAAAUUUGGCGGUAUUUUAAUCUUAUUAGAGGAACCUGUUCUAUAAUCGAUAUUCCACGUUAAAUUUUACUAAAUUUUAAUAUUUAUAUAUCGUUGUCGGAAGAAUAUUUUUUAAAAAUAAAAAUUUUCUAGAAUUUUUAUUAAAAUUAAUGUCAAAUCAAGGUGUAGUUAAUAAUUUAGCAGAAAUGGGUUACAAUAAAUUUAUUUAAAUGGAUUUGAUUUUGAAAAGUUUAAUAAAAGUGGAUUUAAAAGUAAAUUAAUUUUAAUAUAAUUGAUUGAUUAAAGUUCUAAAAUAUGU
rnacentral:rRNA from 1 species